rnacentral:rRNA from 1 species
AAGGUACGGAACAACUCCGGGAAACUGGAGCUAAUACCGUAUGUGCCCGAGAGGGGAAAGAUUUAUCGCCUUUGGAUCGGCCCGCGUCUGAUUAGCUAGUUGGUGGGGUAAUGGCCUACCAAGGCGACGAUCAGUAGCUGGUCUGAGAGGAUGGCCAGCCACACUGGGACUGAGACACGGCCCAGACUCCUACGGGAGGUAGCAGUGGGGAAUAUUGGACAAUGGGCGCAAGCCUGAUCCAGCCAUGCCGCGUGAGUGAUGAAGGCCUUANGGUUGUAAAGCUCUUUCGCCAGGGACGAUAAUGACGGUACCUGGAUAAGAAGCCUCGGCUAACUUCGUGCCAGCAGCCGCGGUAAUACGAAGGGGGCUAGCCGUUGUUCGGAAUUACUGGGCCGUAAAGCGUAUGCAAGGCGGACUUUUAAGUCGGGGGUGAAAUCCCGAGACUCAACCUCGGGACUGCCUUCGAUACUGGAAGUCUUGAAUCCGGGAGAGGUGAAGUGGAACUCCGAGUGUAGAGGUGAAAUUCGUAGAUAUUCGGAAGAACACCAGUGGCGAAGCGGCUCACUGCCCGGUCUGACGCUGAGAUACGAAAGCGUGGGGAGCAAACAGGAUUAAGAUACCCUG